rnacentral:rRNA from 1 species
GUCAGCCUGCCCAGUGACUCUUGUUUAACGGCCGCGGUAUCCUAACCGUGCAAAGGUAGCGUAAUCACUUGUUUUCUAAAUAAAGACUAGUAUGAAAGGCACCACGAGGACUAAACUGUCUCCUUUUUUUAAUCAGUGAAUCUAAUCUCCCCGUGAAGAAGCGGGGAUUCUUAUAUAAGACGAGAAGACCCCAUGGAGCUUAAAACAUCAUAGCACCUGCCCCGCCUCCCCCCCGCCCCGGCAUUUCUUUUUCUAGGCACACUGACUAUAUGUUUUUGGUUGGGGCGACCGCGGAGAAAAACUUAUCCUCCACGAUGAAAGGGAAUUUCCCUAAACAAUAAGCCACAACUUUAUGUAUCAACAAAUUGACAUUUAUUGACCCGAUAUAUCGACUAACGAACCAAGUUACCCUGGGGAUAACAGCGCAAUCCACUUCAAGAGCCCCUAUCGACAAGUGGGCUUACGACCUCGAUGUUGGAUCGGGGUACCCCAGUGGUGUAGCCGCUACUAAAGGUUCGUUUGUUCAACGAUUAAAACCCC